CAGUCGCCGCGGGAAUACGAAGGGUGCAAGCGUUACUCGGAAUUACUGGGCGUAAAGCGUGCGUAGGUGGUGGUUUAAGUCCGUUGUGAAAGCCCUGGGCUCAACCUGGGAAUUGCAGUGGAUACUGGGUCACUAGAGUGUGGUAGAGGAUAGUGGAAUUUCCGGUGUAGCGGUGAAAUGCGUAGAGAUCGGGAGGAACAUCAGUGGCGAAGGCGGCCAUCUGGGACAACACUGACGCUGAGGCACGAAAGCGUGGGGAGCAAACAGGAUUAGAUACCCCGUAGUCCCUGUCUCUUAUACC
rnacentral:rRNA from 1 species